CGGAACGUGCCUAGUAGUGGGGGAUAACUACUCGAAAGAGUAGCUAAUACCGCAUGAGAUCUAAGGAUGAAAGCAGGGGACCUUUGGGCCUUGCGCUACUAGAGCGGCUGAUGGCAGAUUAGGUAGUUGGUGGGAUAAAAGCUUACCAAGCCGACGAUCUGUAGCUGGUCUGAGAGGACGACCAGCCGCACUGGGACUGAGACACGGCCCAGACUCCUACGGGAGGCAGCAGUGGGGAAUUUUGGACAAUGGGCGAAAGCCUGAUCCAGCAAUGCCGCGUGUAGGGUGAAGGCCCUCGGGUUGUAAACUACUUUUGUACGGAACGAAAAGCUCUCUUCUAAUAAAGGAGAGUGAUGACGGUACCGUAAGAAUAAGCACCGGCUAACUACGUGCCAGCAGCCGCGGUAAUACGUAGGGUGCGAGCGUUAAUCGGAAUUACUGGGCGUAAAGCGUGCGCAGGCGGUUAUGUAAGACAGAGGUGAAAUCCCCGGGCUCAACCUGGGAACGGCCUUUGUGACUGCAUAGCUAGAGUACGGUAGAGGGGGAUGGAAUUCCGCGU
rnacentral:rRNA from 1 species